UACAGAGGUGGCAAGCGUUGUUCGGAAUUACUGGGCGUAAAGGGCGCGUAGGCGGCCUUCUAAGUCAGACGUGAAAUCCCCCGGCUUAACCUGGGAACUGCGUCUGAUACUGGGAGGCUUGAGUAUGGGAGAGGGAUGUAGAAUUCCAGGUGUAGCGGUGAAAUGCGUAGAUAUCUGGAGGAACACCGGUGGCGAAGGCGGCGUUCUGGACUGCUACUGACACUGAGGAACGAAAGCCAGGGGAGCAAACGGG
rnacentral:rRNA from 1 species